rnacentral:rRNA from 1 species
GACGUAGGGGGCAAGCGUUGUCCGGAUUCAUUGGGCGUAAAGAGCUCGUAGGCGGCUCAGUAAGUCGGGCGUGAAACCCUCAGGCUCAACCUGGGGACGCCACUCGAUACUGCUGUGGCUAGAGUCCAGUAGGGGAGUGUGGAAUUCCCGGUGUAGCGGUGAAAUGCGUAGAGAUCAGGAAGAACACCGGUGGCGAAAGCGCUCUGCUGGACCGUAACUGACACUGAGGGACGAAAGCUAGGGGAGCGAAUGGG